GGGUUGUGAGGUUAAGUGACUAAGCGUACACGGUGGAUGCCCUGGCAGUCAGAGGCGAUGAAGGACGUGCUAAUCUGCGAUAAGCGUCGGUAAGGUGAUAUGAACCGUUAUAACCGGCGAUUUCCGAAUGGGGAAACCCAGUGUGUUUCGACACACUAUCAUUAACUGAAUCCAUAGGUUAAUGAGGCGAACCGGGGGAACUGAAACAUCUAAGUACCCCGAGGAAAAGAAAUCAACCGAGAUUCCCCCAGUAGCGGCGAGCGAACGGGGAGCAGCCCAGAGCCUGAAUCAGUGUGUGUGUUAGUGGAAGCGUCUGGAAAGGCGCGCGAUACAGGGUGACAGCCCCGUACACAAAAAUGCACAUGCUGUGAGCUCGAUGAGUAGGGCGGGACACGUGGUAUCCUGUCUGAAUAUGGGGGGACCAUCCUCCAAGGCUAAAUACUCCUGACUGACCGAUAGUGAACCAGUACCGUGAGGGAAAGGCGAAAAGAACCCCGGCGAGGGGAGUGAAAAAGAACCUGAAACCGUGUACGUACAAGCAGUGGGAGCACGCUUCGGCGUGUGACUGCGUACCUUUUGUAUAAUGGGUCAGCGACUUAUAUUCUGUAGCAAGGUUAACCGAAUAGGGGAGCCGAAGGGAAACCGAGUCUUAACUGGGCGUUAAGUUGCAGGGUAUAGACCCGAAACCCGGUGAUCUAGCCAUGGGCAGGUUGAAGGUUGGGUAACACUAACUGGAGGACCGAACCGACUAAUGUUGAAAAAUUAGCGGAUGACUUGUGGCUGGGGGUGAAAGGCCAAUCAAACCGGGAGAUAGCUGGUUCUCCCCGAAAGCUAUUUAGGUAGCGCCUCGUGAAUUCAUCUCCGGGGGUAGAGCACUGUUUCGGCAAGGGGGUCAUCCCGACUUACCAACCCGAUGCAAACUGCGAAUACCGGAGAAUGUUAUCACGGGAGACACACGGCGGGUGCUAACGUCCGUCGUGAAGAGGGAAACAACCCAGACCGCCAGCUAAGGUCCCAAAGUCAUGGUUAAGUGGGAAACGAUGUGGGAAGGCCCAGACAGCCAGGAUGUUGGCUUAGAAGCAGCCAUCAUUUAAAGAAAGCGUAAUAGCUCACUGGUCGAGUCGGCCUGCGCGGAAGAUGUAACGGGGCUAAACCAUGCACCGAAGCUGCGGCAGCGACGCUUAUGCGUUGUUGGGUAGGGGAGCGUUCUGUAAGCCUGUGAAGGUGUGCUGUGAGGCAUGCUGGAGGUAUCAGAAGUGCGAAUGCUGACAUAAGUAACGAUAAAGCGGGUGAAAAGCCCGCUCGCCGGAAGACCAAGGGUUCCUGUCCAACGUUAAUCGGGGCAGGGUGAGUCGACCCCUAAGGCGAGGCCGAAAGGCGUAGUCGAUGGGAAACAGGUUAAUAUUCCUGUACUUGGUGUUACUGCGAAGGGGGGACGGAGAAGGCUAUGUUGGCCGGGCGACGGUUGUCCCGGUUUAAGCGUGUAGGCUGGUUUUCCAGGCAAAUCCGGAAAAUCAAGGCUGAGGCGUGAUGACGAGGCACUACGGUGCUGAAGCAACAAAUGCCCUGCUUCCAGGAAAAGCCUCUAAGCAUCAGGUAACAUCAAAUCGUACCCCAAACCGACACAGGUGGUCAGGUAGAGAAUACCAAGGCGCUUGAGAGAACUCGGGUGAAGGAACUAGGCAAAAUGGUGCCGUAACUUCGGGAGAAGGCACGCUGAUAUGUAGGUGAAGCGACUUGCUCGUGGAGCUGAAAUCAGUCGAAGAUACCAGCUGGCUGCAACUGUUUAUUAAAAACACAGCACUGUGCAAACACGAAAGUGGACGUAUACGGUGUGACGCCUGCCCGGUGCCGGAAGGUUAAUUGAUGGGGUCAGCGCAAGCGAAGCUCUUGAUCGAAGCCCCGGUAAACGGCGGCCGUAACUAUAACGGUCCUAAGGUAGCGAAAUUCCUUGUCGGGUAAGUUCCGACCUGCACGAAUGGCGUAAUGAUGGCCAGGCUGUCUCCACCCGAGACUCAGUGAAAUUGAACUCGCUGUGAAGAUGCAGUGUACCCGCGGCAAGACGGAAAGACCCCGUGAACCUUUACUAUAGCUUGACACUGAACAUUGAGCCUUGAUGUGUAGGAUAGGUGGGAGGCUUUGAAGUGUGGACGCCAGUCUGCAUGGAGCCGACCUUGAAAUACCACCCUUUAAUGUUUGAUGUUCUAACGUUGACCCGUAAUCCGGGUUGCGGACAGUGUCUGGUGGGUAGUUUGACUGGGGCGGUCUCCUCCUAAAGAGUAACGGAGGAGCACGAAGGUUGGCUAAUCCUGGUCGGACAUCAGGAGGUUAGUGCAAUGGCAUAAGCCAGCUUGACUGCGAGCGUGACGGCGCGAGCAGGUGCGAAAGCAGGUCAUAGUGAUCCGGUGGUUCUGAAUGGAAGGGCCAUCGCUCAACGGAUAAAAGGUACUCCGGGGAUAACAGGCUGAUACCGCCCAAGAGUUCAUAUCGACGGCGGUGUUUGGCACCUCGAUGUCGGCUCAUCACAUCCUGGGGCUGAAGUAGGUCCCAAGGGUAUGGCUGUUCGCCAUUUAAAGUGGUACGCGAGCUGGGUUUAGAACGUCGUGAGACAGUUCGGUCCCUAUCUGCCGUGGGCGCUGGAGAACUGAGGGGGGCUGCUCCUAGUACGAGAGGACCGGAGUGGACGCAUCACUGGUGUUCGGGUUGUCAUGCCAAUGGCACUGCCCGGUAGCUAAAUGCGGAAGAGAUAAGUGCUGAAAGCAUCUAAGCACGAAACUUGCCCCGAGAUGAGUUCUCCCUGACUCCUUGAGAGUCCUGAAGGAACGUUGAAGACGACGACGUUGAUAGGCCGGGUGUGUAAGCGCAGCGAUGCGUUGAGCUAACCGGUACUAAUGAACCGUGAGGCUUAACCUUACAACGCCGAAGCUGUU
rnacentral:rRNA from 1 species